rnacentral:rRNA from 1 species
GACGAACGCUGGCGGCGCGCCUAACACAUGCAAGUCGAACGAGCGAGAGAGAGCUUGCUUUCUCGAGCGAGUGGCGAACGGGUGAGUAACGCGUGAGGAACCUGCCUCAAAGAGGGGGACAACAGUUGGAAACGACUGCUAAUACCGCAUAAGCUCACGGCUCGGCAUCGAGCAGGGGGAAAAGGAGCAAUCCGCUUUAACAUGGCCUGGCGUCCGAUUAGCUAGUUGGUGGGGUUACGGCCCCCGAAGGCGACGAUCGGUAGCCGGACUGUGAGGUUGAACGGCCACAUUGGGGCUGAGACACGGCCCAGACUCCUACGGGAGGCAGCAGUGGGGAAUAUUGCACAAUGGGGGGAACGCUGAUGGAGCUACGCCGCGUGGAGGAAGAAGGUCUUCGGAUUGUAAACUCCUGUUGUUGGUGAAGAUAAUGACGGUACCCAACAAGGAAGUGACGGCUAACUACGUG